UGCCGACAAUAGCCCGCACGCACUGAUGGUGGAAUUCGUUAAGACGGCGCAGAUUAGGAGCCCUGGUCGUCCAGGUCUCUGCUCCAUACAACAGCGCCGUAAGAACUAGGGCCACGUCGACACGACGUCGACAUUGGAGAGACAAGGAGCGGUUCCCGAAGACAGAUUCCCGCAAGCAACCAAACACUCGAGACGCCUUAGAAAUCCGUGACUGCACAUCAUGCGCACAAAGGCCAUCCCAGUGAAUCACGGACCCAAGAUAUGUGAAUUGGUCAACGGCAUCGAUGGUUCCAUUCCCGAGAUUAACGGGCUCACCGGUGGGAGUAUUGAUUGAUAUAGCUUUGGUUUUGUCAAGUUGACGGUUAGUCCCCAACCAGAAGCACAGGCCACAAACGUCUCCGCACACGGAUCAAAGGAUGCCUUGGACGUGGCGUACAGCGCAGAAUCAUCGGAAAACUGCGAACCCAUUACAGUGAGAUGCUGCAGACGCGACUUGGCAGUUCGGUCGCCAACCAGCUUUCUCCCAGCUUUGUACCGCAGCUCGACAACUGUAUCCGGACACAUAGACGCCAGUGGUCAAGUACCGCCAAGAAGUACAAAUUGAACAGGACAGGGGCCAGCGUGCAGCCCUGCGACAGGCCAUUGUUAACGUUGAUGUUGGACGUGAGGUCGCCAACCACCCGCACUUUCACCUGCAUGGACUCAUGCAGUGACUGAUGAUGUUCAGUAUGGUGGGCGGGACGCCGAGCUUCUGCAGGAGGGCCCAUAGCACCGGCCUCAGGAUCAAGUCAUAUGCCUUCCUCAGGUCAACAAACAGCGCGUAGCGUGGCACAUCAUUCUCAAUGGAUUUCUCCACCAACUGUCGAGCAACAUGGACCAUGAUGCAUACAGCCACGACCCCUACGGAAACUGCACUACAUGCGGGUUACUCCGAAACCGCUCGUCAUUGUUGGUGGAGGUUCGUAUGAGCUAUCAUGCGUCGACAGCAGCGGUCGUCCCGGUCUCCAGGACGUCACCUGGCAGUUCACGUUCCCAGCAGGCCGACCUUCUGCAUUGAGUUACCAGCCUAGGGGCCAGUAUAACGAGACGAUGGUCUUGAACAUCAACCAGAACCUGUAUACUCGCUUUCUGGCAGUUCAGGCGUCCUUUUUUCUGGAUUGCUACGUGGGUGCUCCACCGGCGACAUUCCCCACUUCAUAUUCUUCCAACAUCCAACUGUAUAAUGACUUGUGCCAGGAUCCGACGUACUGCACCCUCUUCGCUGAAUAUCCGAAGGGAUCGACGAACUGUACGCGCAGCAGUUCUGGUGACAUACUUGAAUUCGACUGUAUCUGUUCGCCUGGCGAUGCGGG